UUUUGAACAGGAAUGGCUGAAAGAAGAGGAGCACUGGACUGUUGAGCUCCCUUGAGAAAAUGAGGAUCCCUGGCUCGUUUCUAGGAAUCACUUGGUGAUCUCCAGACACUCCACAAAUAAGGGUUACAUAGGGACACAAUGGAAAUUCAACAGCUAGAAGACAUCACCCUCAAUGUCUUUCAUCAGAGCCACACUUUUCAGAGCAGAUGAUGAGAUCCUGGUGCCUGUUUCCCUGAUCUGCCCAGAAGGGACAUCUGUCAGAUGAGGGUUGGCACAAAUGCUGACUUGGACCAUGGUGCUGGGACCUCAUUGUUGUCUGUGGAGGCUGUGCCAAGGGGUAACAUCUCUUUCUCCGUAUUUGAGAUGAAGCUGGAAUCUCCUCCCACCACCCAAGAGUGAUUCUGAAUCAUUCUUGCUGCUGAAUACACACAGCAACAGCCUGAUCCUGCCAGCCGAAUCAGAGGUGCGUGGGUAACUUUGUACAGAAACACUCCCAUCGAGAUGGCACACACGCCCAGGCAUCUGCAGGUAGCGCUCCGUGUCAGGAACUGCGGCGUUAGCAGGUUUGAGAUUUGACUGUCAUAAUAACACCUCACACCCUUUCCACUCUGAGGAGUUGUUGUUCAUGGGGAAGGUUUUGGCAUGUUCAGGAGUAAAAGGCAGUUUUCAGUAACAUGCUCAAAAGGCCUUAGAACUUGAGAAAGUGCGUGAGGGUAUGUGGAGUCAUUGCAAAAUGUCUCUGUGGGAAAGAAGUCUUUAAAUUGUCACUAAACCAUAGGUAGAUAAAUUUUUCUCAUGGAAAGAUUUUGCUGCAGUUUUCAUUCCAUAUAGAAGCCAAUUAACCACACUGAAUACACCUACAAACAUCUUUUAUAAGUGUUUAAAAAAAAAUUUUAAAGAGCCCUGGGGAAGAACUUUCAUCAUCCUUUAAAAACCUCCACUACCCUUGCUUAUGCUCUGAACGUUGUGUUUUAAAAAUGAGUUUUAUAGCUCAGGGAUAGAAAUAAACAAAUAAAGCAAAAUAAUAGUCAUAAUAAAUCUACCCAAAUCCUACUCCACAUUCAACCACUUCACUGGCACUGCAUCAGGCUGCCCGAGACCUGCAGCGCUCUGCCAGCUGUCUGAGCUUACAAACCACUACCCCCGGCUCUGUUCGGCCGCCAGCAGACAAACCUUUUGGACAGGCUCAUGCCACAAAGCCCCUCUCCAGCAAAGGGCAGAGGCACACAGCCCUUCCCAGACCCUGUCCCGCAGAAACUCCCCCGACACGCAUUCCUACCCUGCCCCAGCUAAAGGGCACUUUUGUCUUUUUUUGUGGGGCUUUUUUCCAGGGCUCCAGCAAACGUGGCUCCACGCUCCUCACAAACCAGAUGUGGGAUGCCAGGGUGUAAUGAUGGCUGGGAGCCAGACGCCCCUGCCUCGGUCCGGAUGGAUGCAGCUCCAACCUGUACCUAUCAGAGCAGCGUCACUGAGAAACAAUUACACUCUUCUGUUCCGAAGGUGGGCAGGGGAGUUUGGUUCAGACUUGGAUUUCAUUCCCACACCGUCGUUAGAGUUCACCCAGCCGAACUGCCAGCACUGUGAGCGUAUCCAAAAACCCUGCCCGGCACUGGGCCAAGCUCUGCCUGGCACAGCAGCGG